rnacentral:rRNA from 1 species
AUUGAACGCUGGCGGCAUGCCUUACACAUGCAAGUCGAACGGUAACAGGUCUUCGGAUGCUGACGAGUGGCGAACGGGUGAGUAAUACAUCGGAACGUGCCCGAUCGUGGGGGAUAACGGAGCGAAAGCUUUGCUAAUACCGCAUACGAUCUACGGAUGAAAGCAGGGGACCGCAAGGCCUUGCGCGGACGGAGCGGCCGAUGGCAGAUUAGGUAGUUGGUGGGAUAAAAGCUUACCAAGCCGACGAUCUGUAGCUGGUCUGAGAGGACGACCAGCCACACUGGAACUGAGACACGGUCCAGACUCCUACGGGAGGCAGCAGUAGGGAAUAUUGGACAAUGGGCGCAAGCCUGAUCCAGCCAUGCCGCGUGAGUGAAGAAGGCCCUCGGGUUGUAAAGCUCUUUUGUCCGGAAAGAAAAGCGCCGGGUUAAUACCCUGGUGUCCUGACGGUACCGGAAGAAUAAGCACCGGCUAACUUCGUGCCAGCAGCCGCGGUAAUACG